rnacentral:rRNA from 1 species
AGGGUUCGAUUAUGGCUCAGGACGAACGCUGGCGGUGCGCCUUAUGCAUGCAAGUUGAGCGAAGCUUUUCAGUAGUUUACUACAGAAAAUGACUGAGCGGCGAACGGGUGAGUAACGCGUGAGCAAUCUACCUUAGUUACUGGGAUAGCCCGAGGAAACUCGGAUUAAUACCGGAUAUUCUUAUUUUUUCACAUGAAGUUUUAAGGAAAGGUCAGCCGAACUAAGAUGGGCUCGCGUUCUAUCAGCUAGUUGGUGGGGUAAAAGCCUACCAAGGCUACGACGGAUAGCUGGUCUGAGAGGACGAUCAGCCACACUGGGACUGAGACACGGCCCAGACUCCUACGGGAGGCUGCAGCAGGGAAUAUUGUGCAAUGAGCGAAAGCUUGACACAGCGACACCGCGUGUGGGAUGACGGUUCUAGGAUUGUAAACCACUUUCAGGAGGGAAGAAAAUGACGGUACCUCCACAAGAAGACCCGGCCAACUAUGUGCCAGCCGCCGCGGUAAUUCA